AUUGAACGCUGGCGGAAUGCUUUACACAUGCAAGUCGAGCGGCAGCGCGGGGGCAACCUGGCGGCGAGCGGCGAACGGGUGAGUAAUGCAUCGGAACGUACCGUGUAAUGGGGGAUAACGUAGCGAAAGUUACGCUAAUACCGCAUACGCCCUGAGGGGGAAAGCGGGGGAUCGUAAGACCUCGCGUUAUACGAGCGGCCGAUGUCGGAUUAGCUAGUUGGUGGGGUAAAGGCCUACCAAGCCGACGACGGGUAACCGGUCUGAGAGGAUGGCCGGUCACAAGGGCACUGAGAGACGGGCCCUACUCCUACGGGAGGCAGCAGUGGGGGAUUUUGGACAAUGGGCGAAAGCCUGAUCCAGCGACGCCGCGUGGAGGACGAAGCCCUUCGGGGUGUAAACUCCUUUUCUCAGGGAAAAGGAUGAUGGUACCUGAGGAAUAAGCCCCGGCUAACUACGUG
rnacentral:rRNA from 1 species